CAAAGGAUAGUUUAAUUAAGAAUUCUAGCUUUGGGUGCUAUAGGUGGGAGUUAGAAUCUUCCUUCUUUGA
rnacentral:tRNA from 1 species